ACAAACAUGGCGUUGCCAUGGCAACCGCCCCGAAAUUCGGUUUUAUAUAGCAGUGACAAACCCCGCCGCCUUUCCCAAAGUCACCAUUUAGCACGGCAUUCUCACACCUCACCUCCAUGUAACCAUUCCGUGCCAUUUCCGUGCUCUCACACAGGGGUCUGUGUGGGGGCUGUUCCUUUCCUCUGACCAGUCAAACUAAUCUGUACCUCCUGCCUCGAGCUCGGAACACACUAGAGAGAAAGCUCCAGAAAGGACUCGGCAGGUCUCCUCAGUAGCAGCAGCAGGGAGGGACCCCAGUGCAGUCCCAGAUAGCUGCCAGUCACUUGGCCGGGCUGGCUCACAGAAGGUGCAGCAGGCACAGAUGGCACUAAUGCAUAAAUGUGAUCUAGCAAAGGGAUGCCAACACCAACCCCCAACAGGUUCCGAGGAACUGCAGUGCACUUACAGGGAUACGAGGGUUGGCAAGGUGAAAGCUGAGAUUUACAGGAGCUCACUAUUCCCAAAUCAACAACAGAAUCCUACAACAAAUGAGCAGAUUUAUUUAUUAACUUAGAAAAUGCACUUAAUGGCACAAUCUCUGGGCAUGUGUGUAACAAAGCCUCUCCAAACCCCCCACUCGUUAUAUAAAUUAUACUGAGCAAAGGAAAG